GCGUCAGUAGUGCAACUGGUUAGAGCACGCGCUCUUGGACAGAGUGAGAUGUGGGUUCGAGGCCCGGCUGACACG